CAAGUCGAACGCGAAAGCCCUUUCGGGGGUAAGUAGAGUGGCGUCCGGGUGAGUAACACGUGGGUAAUCUGCCUUCGGGUGGGGAAUAACCCAGGGAAACUUGGGCUAAUACCGCAUAAUGCAGCGGCACCUAAUGGUGAUUAGUUGUUAAAGCGGGGGAUCGCAAGACCUCGCGCCUGAAGAGGAGCCUGCGGCAGAUUAGCUAGUUGGUGAGGUAAUGGCUCACCAAGGCUUCGAUCUGUAGCUGGUCUGAGAGGACGGCCAGCCACACUGGCACUGACACACGGGCCAGACUCCUACGGGAGGCAGCAGUGGGGAAUUUUGGGCAAUGGGCGAAAGCCUGACCCAGCAACGCCGCGUGAGGGAGGAAAUCCUUCGGGAUGUAAACCUCACAAGCAAGGGAAGAGAGCUGCGGGCUGAAUGAUCCCGCAGUACGACGGUACCUUGCGUAAGCCACGGCUAACUACGUGCCAGCAGCCGCGGUAAUACGUAGGUGGCAAGCGUUGUUCGGAAUUAUUGGGCGUAAAGGGCGCGUAGGCGGUUUGUUAAGUCGGCUGUGAAAGCCCGGGGCUCAACCCCGGAGGGUCAGCCGAUACUGGCAGACUAGAGUACGGAAGAGGUAGCUGGAAUUCCCGGUGUAGCGGUGAAAUGCGUAGAUAUCGGGAGGAACACCUGAGGCGAAGGCGGGCUACUGGGCCGAUACUGACGCUGAUGCGCGAAAGCCAGGGGAGCGAACGGGAUUAGAUACCCCGGUAGUCCUGGCCCUAAACGAUGGACACUUGGUGUGUCGGGUAUUCCAGUCCCGAUGUGCCGGAGCUAACGCGUUAAGUGUCCCGCCUGGGGAGUACG
rnacentral:rRNA from 1 species